AUGAACGCUGGCGGCGUGCCUAAUACAUGCAAGUCGAGCGAACGGACGAGAAGCUUGCUUCUCUGAUGUUAGCGGCGGACGGGUGAGUAACACGUGGAUAACCUACCUAUAAGACGGGGAUAACUUCGGGAAACCGGAGCUAAUACCGGAUAAUAUUUUGAACCGCAUGGUUCAAAAGGGAAAAACGGCCUGGCUGUCACUUAUAGAUGGAUCCGCGCUGCAUUAGCUAGUUGGUAAGGUAACGGCUUACCAAGGCAACGAUGCAUAGCCGACCUGAGAGGGUGAUCGGCCACACUGGAACUGAGACACGGUCCAGACUCCUACGGGAGGCAGCAGUAGGGAAUCUUCCGCAAUGGGCGAAAGCCUGACGGAGCAACGCCGCGUGAGUGAUGAAGGUCUUCGGAUCGUAAAACUCUGUUAUUAGGGAAGAACAUAUGUGUAAGUAACUGUGCACAUCUUGACGGUACCUAAUCAGAAAGCCACGGCUAACUACGU
rnacentral:rRNA from 1 species